UUUCACUCACUUGCUACCAUUAGAUAUUUGUCCUGGCAUCCUAGUCAGGAAGACAUUAGCUAGGCCUAAUUGCUCAGACUGUAUUUAACGGACAGCCUGUGCUAUCAGAUAGCUCUAGAAAGAAAACAACAGAAGGCUUAACAUGCAACUCUAGGAAUGCCAGGUAUGUAGUCAUAAAAUCGAAUAAUUUCAGAGCAAGGAGAGCCUCAGAUGAGCCGCUAAUCAUCUCCAUGGCCUGAAACAAAGGAGCCAUGUUAGGACACAACAAGAAAAUGGGCCAUCAAGCCAGGGAAAUAGGUCUCACCAGACACCAACCCUGUUGGCUCUUCCAACUUGGACUUCCAGCCUCCAGAACGCGAAGAGAUCUGAAGAGUCCAUUCCUCUGAACAUCAGUUUUUCAUCUAUAAAAAGAGAAUGAAAGUACAUGGUCUGGCCACCUCCCAGGAUUGUUAUAAGGAUCAAAUGAGAUCAUAAUCUAUGUGAAAGUACUGUUGGUGCCGGUGAUGUUAUUUAACACUCAGCUGGACUAUUUUGUUGAUGAGGAGGCUGAAAUUCAGGGAGGCGACCUCAGCUGCAGCAAAGAAAUAAACGGCAGAAGUGGGAUUUACAGAAGGGCCGUGUGACGCUCAGAGUCCAUGGUCAUGCCAGCGCUGCGACCCAGUCCUAGCCCUGGAGGACGAGCAGUCCUUUUCUCGAUCUACACAAGACAUUACUACAGCGUCUUCAUGCACCCCAAGCCAUGAACACCACCACCCCCAAAGUUAGGUCUGUCCUGUGCCAUAACUUUGCCCUGCCUCCUCUUCUCUGCCUUAUUCUCUUGGACAGCAGGAGGGCUGGCCCCAACCCCAAUCUGAGCUUGCUUGAUCCUAGCCGGCUUCCUGCCAAGAGCUCAGCCCCCUGCUCCCCCAGAGCUCAGGUCUCUCCUGCCUGACUUGGAGGCAGCAUGGAGCAGUACAGAAGCGCUUAUACACAGGCUCUCUUCUAUGUGGCCCAGUUUCCUUAUCUAUGAAAUGGAGGUAAUACUAUCUCCUCCUAAGGUUGAAUGAAAUCAUCUAUGUCAAGUGCUCAGCACAGGGCAUGUCUCCUGAGGUGGGGGAGGGGGGAGCUCCCAUCUGCCUGUAUCCCUCAAGACUGCACUUAGACCACCCUCCCUGCAGAGCCUUGGAGAGUCACUUGGAUUUGUAAGCUCCUUGGAUGCUGUACACUACCAGGUCCAGGGCCACGUCUGAAACCAAGCCAGUUUCUUCAGUCCACAUCCUAUCAGCCAAGGGGGCAGGGUUCUACUUUUCCUCCUGACAACCUUGACUGAGAUCCCAGCAUGCCCACUCCUGUUGCCACACUUCAGAACAGGACCACUCAACAGAAUUUUCUGGGGUGAUGGAACUGUUCUAGAUCUGUGCUGCCCAAAAUGGAAGCCAGUGGCCACGAGUGGCUAUUGAGAAGUUGAAAUGUGGUAAGUGUGACUAAGGAAUAGAAAUUUACAACCAUU